GGGCGGCCAUGGGGCAACAGGCGGCCAGGGCGCCAAGGGCCAGGUAGCGACGGCUGGCGGCGGCGCGGCGGCGGGGCCUGCGGGCUCGGUCCGGCAUGUAGACGCCCCCGCAGGCGCCCGCGGCAGCGAACGGCAUCAGUGUUUUUCUGACCGAAGUUCUCAUUUCCUGACAAUGGAAAUGGAACAAGAAAAAAUGACCAUGAAUAAGGAAUUGAGUCCAGACGCGGCUGCUUACUGCUGCUCGGCCUGCCACGGCGACGAGACCUGGAGUUACAACCACCCCAUCCGGGGCCGGGCCAAGUCUCGCAGCCUGUCUGCCUCGCCCGCCCUGGGGAGCACCAAGGAGUUCAGGAGGACACGCUCUCUUCAUGGGCCAUGCCCGGUGACCACUUUUGGACCAAAGGCCUGUGUGCUGCAGAACCCCCAGACCAUCAUGUGAGUGCUGGGGCCCCAGGACGGGGGGUCCUUGGAAGGGAGAGAACCCCUAGACCAUCAUGUGAGUGCCGGGGGCCAUGGGAUGGGGGCGUCCUCGGGAUGUGUGUGGAGUUGUGGGAUCGCUGUGUUGAGGAAGAUUCUAGCACUUCAUGUGAGAAGUACAUGUUUAGGUCAUUUAAACAAAAAGCCACAUGGGCGUCCUCCCUGAACCCCCUGAGUGCAGGCAUCCGAGCGGGGGCUCCCCAGCUGUGGCUUUUCCAGCGGCUUUGCGAAAGUGGACGGUAGGU
rnacentral:sRNA from 1 species